rfam:Candidatus Nitrospira inopinata isolate ENR4 genome assembly, chromosome: 1
GCGGGAAUAGCUCAGUGGUAGAGCAUCGCCUUGCCAAGGCGAGGGUCGCGGGUUCAAAUCCCGUUUCCCGCU